rfam:Canis lupus familiaris chromosome 21, whole genome shotgun sequence.
GGGAGUGCAGGAUCCUGGGCUGUGUCCCCCGGCGCCCUGGGUUCCAGGGCCUGUGCUGCUGGAAUCGCGCUCCCAGGGCCCCGGCUCCC